AAAUCGUUCAUUUUCAUUCUUUGACUCUUUGUCUCUCUCUUUCUCUCUUCCUCCUCCCCUGCAGCAGAUUUUAUGUACUACUAUUUAAAACUUUAAAUUUUAAAUUUCUAUAUUUUAACUAUUAGUUUCUAAGUUUAGAAAGAGAUUUGAUAUUUGAUAUUUGAUAUUUAGAUAUUUUAAAUUUCAAAAUUUAAAAUUUAUAUUUUUAAAUUUUAAAUUUAAAAUUUAGAUUUUAAAUUUCAAAUUUCAAUUUUCAAUAUCGAAUUUUAAUUUUAAAAUUUUAAUUUCAAAUUUUAAAAACUAAAUUUUAAAAUUUUUACGUUUCAAAUAUCUAAGUUUGGAAUUUCAAAUUUUAAAUUUAGAUUUCAAUUUCAGUUUUGAAAAUUUUAAUUUAAAAUUUUAAAAUUUAGAUUUUAAAUUUCAAGUUUUAAAGUUUCAAUUGUUAGAAAUCCUGCAUCCAAAUGGUUUAAAAAUGAAACUAACGAAUUUUUUAGAGUUUCAGAAUUUUCUAUUUCCUGUAGACCAAAACUACAAAAUAUAAAUUCCAUAAAAUUUUAUAGCAGUUUUC
rnacentral:lncRNA from 1 species